AAAGAGGGGGAAAGCCAGCCGCGAGCCGCCGGAGCUUCUAUCGCCGUCAGAAGCUCUCGCCGCCCUCCCAGUUGCUGCAGUGGUUGUCGCCCAUCGUGUAUGGCCGCCGGAGAAGUUGUUGUGGCCGCUGGAACCACCGCCGGAGGUUCUGCAGUUUGGUUCAGUCUUUAAUCCUUUGUUACGGGUCGAGUUCUGGUUAUUGCGGGUCGCAAUUGAAGCUGCCGCUACUUGGUUUGGUUCCUUCUUAGUUACGAAUUAUUGUGGUUGAUGCGAAAGUGGUUUGGAGCAGAGAUUGUGGCUGCUGCAUUGCGGGCCGAGAGAAAAACGGAGUUUUAUCCCGAAAUUGAAUCGCAAUUGAGGAGACGAAUGAAGAGGCUUACGAAGAGUUUAAUCGCAAUUUUGCUUAUACAAUUCUGUUGUUAUAUUAGUUUAAUUGUUAUGUAUUUUUCCCUCACCAUCAAUAUUGUAUUUUAAAAGAGGGAUAGGAAUUUUAUGUUCUAUAUGUAUAUUAUAUUCACAAGCUACUUAUGUAAGAACUUUUGUACAUAUGUAUAUGCUUGCCUGUUUUCAAGAUAAAAGUAUUUUUUCGGUUUUUCAAAGAAAACUGCGAUAUAGUUUCGAGUCAGGAUCCUAUUUUAUUAUUAUACAUAUGAAGUCGUCGUAAUAUUUCUUGCUAUCAGAAUAGCGCAGCUGGAAGCGUGAUAUUCUGAUAGUGAGGGUGUUACAGGCCUCCGUAGCAUAGCCUUACCUUGCUUCACAUCAAAGGCGCAUGUGAGAGUGUAAAAUCCUUACCAAGUCUUCACAAGUCUUUCUACUGCCCUCUCUCGAGUUUCUUUAUUUGCAAGCUUCACAAGUCUGGAGACAAUGACUAUUACAGACUGUCCCAAGUUGUAGAAUAUGGCGGGAGGAAAGCUGCCUAUCUCUUUGAUACAACUCUCUAUCUCGGAAAAUCAUAUCCCUUGUUGGGUAGGCGCUGUCAGAAGAAGGACUCGCAAAUUUGGCCGAAAAUUUCCCAUAUCCAUUACAUUAAAGUUGAUCAAAGAAGGAUUUGGUGACAUGGGUUCUUCAAUAGGCAUUCAGAUUAUUUGGUUGUACUAUCCAAACAGAUCAAGCUUCUGAUGAAAUUGAUAACCAUAGCGCUGCUGAAAAUGAAGCAGGAGAAGACAACAUACAAUAAAGAGGGAUUGACAAGCUAAUUGCAUAGAAUUUGACUUAUACUAUUAAAGUAAUGUCUCUUUCAUGAAGAGUAGCAGCUAGUUGUAAGGUAUUACGUAUAUCUGAUUAGUGAACGGAAAUUUAUCUUAAGAAUGAAUUAAACAUAUAAAAAAAACAGCCAUUUGUGCGUAAUCGAUAAUUUUUGUACUGAAGAAAUGGAUUAUCUAAGCUCAUGGGGAUGUUUGUAAUGCUUGUUAGAUUAGUUUCCAUUCAUAAGGAAUUCAUUGUUUCACUUUUA